rnacentral:rRNA from 1 species
GCAAGUCGAGCGAGAAGCUUCUGAUUGAUCCUUCGGGUGAAAGAUGAAGUGGAAAGCGGCGGACGGGUGAGUAACGCGUGGGUAACCUGCCCCAUACAAAGGGAUAGCACUGGAAACGGUGAUUAAUACCAUAUAAAAUCAUAGUAUCGCUUGAUACAUUGGUCAAAGAUUUAUCGGUAUGGGAUGGACCUGCGGCUGAUUAGCUAGUUGGUAAGGUAAUGGCUUACCAAGACGACGAUGAGUAGCCGACCUGAGAGGGUGAUC